rnacentral:rRNA from 1 species
UACGAAGGGGACUAGCGUUGUUCGGAAUCACUGGGCGUAAAGCGCACGUAGGCGGAUGUGUCAGUCAGGGGUGAAAUCCCGGGGCUCAACCUCGGAACUGCCUUUGAUACAGCACGUCUCGAGUCCGGAAGAGGUGGGUGGAAUUCCUAGUGUAGAGGUGAAAUUCGUAGAUAUUCGGAGGAACACCAGUGGCGAAGGCGGCUCACUGGUCCAUUACUGACGCUGAGGUGCGAAAGCGUGGGGAGCAAACAGG